GUCCACGCUGUAAACGUUGGGCGCUAGGUGUGGGGGACCUCUCCGGUUCUCUGCGCCGCAGCUAACGCAUUAAGCGCCCAGCCUGGGGAGUACGGCCGCAAGGCUAAAACUCAAAGGAAUUGACGGGGGCCCGCACAAGCGGCGGAGCAUGCGGAUUAAUUCGAUGCAACGCGAAGAACCUUACCUGGGUUUGACAUCGCCGGAAAACUCGUAGAGAUACGGGGUCCUUCGGGGCCGGUGACAGGUGGUGCAUGGCUGUCGU
rnacentral:rRNA from 1 species